GGCCAAACAACCAAAAAUGGCACAUACACUACUAGGCAAAAUCAUGACAUAUCUUUUGCUUUUUUAUUUUUGCUUUCAUGUUCAACAUUAAAUUUGUACUGCUUUGUGAAUAGAAACGAGACGGGGGGAAAAAGGCGAAAAAAUUCGUCAGCUGCAAAUGGCCUCGACAACGCCGUGUGCAUCAUGGAGUGUUGCAACUUCAUGACGACUGACGUCAGACUUUCAAUAGCGAAAAUAAGUGUAAUCAGACCGGUCAAACUCACACUCUUUCCACAAAUGGUAUAUGGAUGUCAAAAAGAAAUCAUUGGCCAUGACAGUGAGCCACGCAUGCUUAUUACAGCAGACGUUUCUACUCUUUUUUUUAGAAAUCUGUCGGAACCAAACACCACUCAAUUUUGUUUGUUUGCUUGCAAGUUGUUUUUUUUUUAUUUUUUUUAUUUUAGAGGAAAUGAUAAAUAUUUAUUCCGAUCCAUCACAUAGACGUCGCUGGUGUGCCAGAGUGUUUGUGAUAUUAGUACUGGUCGAAUUGAGCUGAAUCAGAAACACAGCUGGCGUUGAAUUCGUCAAAUUACGUGAUGGUCAAAUCGAUGGCCACUCCUCUAUAUGCAAUCUACUCAACAUGCUUGGCAAAGACAUCAGCAAUCUUUCACGACGGGGAGUUUUCACUUAUUUUCACACAUCAUUUACAACCACGAUGGUCAAUAUGAAAAAUGUCGGAAAAACAUGUUUAAUUUGAUAUGACGAUGGUGGAACCAAAAGUUUGACAUGGAAUGGAAAUAUCUU